rnacentral:lncRNA from 1 species
AGGCCGCAGACUCUCGGCCGUCCUCCUUGGUCCGGCCAAAGCCCUCCCUCUCCCCGGGCCCAGCGCUUGCCUGGCCCCGCUCUUCAGGGCCCUCCACCUGCACAGGCGCAGGCUCCGGGCCAGGGGCGACUCUCCUGGCCUCGGAGAGAAGCUGGCCGGCGCCACGGAGGGGCCGGCGGGGCUCUGGAGGGAGGGAGGGACCGGCCAUGCGCGAUUCCCCCCCCGGGGCUGCUCCCCCUCAGGCUCCGGCCCGGCCCCACUCUGUCUGUCUGUCUGUCCCGCCGGGCUGCUCACCUCACUGUCGGGGCUCGGCCGGAUGACCUCCCACGUCUGGAAGUCCACGUCGUAGCAGUGAAGCUCGUUGGGGAGGGUGUUGUCGGCCGCCCCCCCGAACACGUAGAGGUGCCGGUCGAAGGCAACCAUGGUGUGCCCGUACCUCCGCUGCGGGGGCGGGGGCGAGCCCCGCAGCAGGUGCUCGGUGGGGAUGCGGGUCCAGCUGGGGACAGGAGGAGACGGUCACCCACCCCCGAGCCGCCGCCACCCAUCCUGCUGCCCAUCCCCCAGCCGCCGCCACCCAUCCUGCUGCCCAUCCCCCAGCUGCGGGCACCCAUCCCGCCACCACCGGCACCCAUCCCGCCGCCCAUCCCCCAGCCGCCGCCCUCACACUUUGUCCCGGAACUCGAACUGGAAGAGGUUGUUGGUGAUCUUGGCGCCGCUCUGGCCCGAGAACACGAACAUCUUGUCCCUGCACACGGCCACGGGGAAGUUGCAGCAGGAAGGGGGGAUCUCGCCGCUCUGCUCGAUCUAGGACCCGGGGAAAUCGGCCGGGGAGGGCCUUCAGGAAGGGGCGCCUCCCCCUGCCGGCCCUGCCUCGGGGGCUCCCGGGAUGCCCCGCGGCUGCCCGACGCGCCGGACUAUUCGCUAGGAGGCGGCCGGGGACUCCGCAGAAAGUCGGGAAGACACGAGGUCGGGUCUGGCCUCAGACACUCACUAGCUGUGUCACCCUGGGCAAGUCACUUCACCCUGUUGGCCUCAGUUUCCUCGUCUGUAAGAGGCGCCCACACAGAGCAGUCGCCAAAGAAACGCUGGCCGGAGUCAGACAGAAGCUCCUCUGCCAGCUUUUAG